AUAUUGUACCAUGGGCGGAAGCCUGCUCAAGCCAUGCCGCGGGUGUGAAGAAGGUCUUCGGAUUGUACCGCAAUUUAAUUUGGGAGGCAGGGUUUACACCUAAUACGUGUGAACUUUGACGUUACCAAAAGAAUAAGCACCGGCUAACUUCGUGCCCGCACCCGCGGUAAUACGAAGGGUGCAAGCGUUACUCGGAAUUACUGGGCGUAAAGCGCGCGUAGGUGGUUCGUUAAGUUGGAAGUGAAAACCCCGGGCUCAACCUGGGAAUUGCUUUCAAAACUGGCGAGCUAGAGUACGGUAGAGGGUGGUGGAAUUUCCUGUGUAGCGGUGAAAUGCGUAGAUAUAGGAAGGAACAUCAGUGGCGAAGGCGACCACCUGGACUGAUACUGACACUGAGGUGCGAAAGCGUGGGGAGCAAACAGG
rnacentral:rRNA from 1 species